GCCCUUUAUAAAAAUGUCAUUUUACCGAAAUAAAUCAUUUUUUAAAAAUGUCUACUAUUAAAAACAGGUUUUCAAGAACAACGACCAAAACCAACUGAAAUAAGAAUAAUUUCUGCAGCAGAGGAGUUAAAAUCCAUGAACAGCCUUUAUGACAGAUAAUAGAAAGCGUGAGGUUUGCUAACAUACAGUUAGCCUGUAGGUGCUAAGCUAUUUGCAACUCUUGCACCCUCACAGCCCUGUUGAUGGACUAAAAACAGGCCGCUCAUAUUCAAACUGAUAAUCGGAUCUAUACUACUCCCGAGCCGCGGCGCUCCUGCUGCAGCUGAAACCGACGAGGAGGACGUGGAGUUGGGCGAUGACGGAGCGGACCACUUCAACGUAGUCAGAAUUGGAUUGAUCCCACAUACACACCUCUCAUCUCCUCCUUCUCCUCUCUCUCUCUUCUCAUCUCCUCUGGAGUGUGAAGAGCACCAGAGUGUGAGAAGCCACCCUGAAGAUCUCAUCAAGGAUCCAAUCAGAGCAUGAAUACAAAAUGCAGGCUCCUCUUGCGAUGUGAUGAUGGGGGAAACGAGAGCCUGUUUGGAAGAAAAAAAAAUCUCUGCAUAUGCAAAUUGAACUUAAAAUUUAAAUGAAUUAGAGUGUCUCUGACCCUUUCAGGGAUGUACUAACAGGCUCUGAGGAAAAGAAUCCGCGCAGAUUAGCCUAUUAAUAUUUAUGUGUGUAAUUGGUGGGCUGCGUGGCGUGAGGCCUGGUUGCGCCUGGUGGCAUGUGGACCCCGUUCAGGCUUAAUCCAGGUGGGCGCUCUUGCUGCCUCUAACAGGGAAAUGAUCGACCAUUUUAGGAGGAAGCUGGAUAUCCUAAUAAUCACGUAAACCAAUACUGGGUAUUGAGAGUGUUUCCUUCCGGAGCUGUUGGCACGUCAGUCAUUCACAGAAUUGCUCCUGUCUGGUCUGCGAGCCAUUUUAACUCAAUGGAACGGCCGCCGCCCCACCCCCUCGGUGCGUUUAGAGAGGACCACACGGGGCCUCUUUGGAUAGCUACUACACCCACGAGGAGGCUCCCCAACCAUCACAGGGACCAACCAGACGUUCCAGCACACACACACUUGCGCGCGCACACACACCUCCCGGUUCUCAAAUCUGAACAAAGCGUGCCUCAGUCUAAAGUGGUUAAACUGUCAUUUCAAAUCGUCUGGACAUCGUGAUUACCGGCAUGGGAGGAAUUAUAUAUUUAGCUUUAUGUCCGUCGCCAUUUCCUCCCCCCGCCCUGAUCUGAAGUGACUAGCCAGUAGUGCCCUCGAUAUUACUAUCUCUGAGGAGUUUAAGCCUUCCCCCAGGAGACAAGAGUAAUCAACGGCUGCCAGCAGGAGAGAGGGAGAGGGAAGGAGAGAGGAUGAGAGGUGUGGGGUGGGUGGUGCUGGAGGCUUGGAGUGAUGAGAUGGUGGAGGGAAUGGCAAUGGACUUGGUUUCUAGAUAUGUCAGUUUAUUUAAUAGAAAGCAUGAAAAAAAACGUCUUUUUGAGCAAUGCUGUUAUAAUAAAUAAUUUUUUCCUCUUUUUUUUUUCUUCCAUUUUCAAAUCUAAAGAUUAAUAGAGCCAGCUGUGGUACAACAACAUAUUGUACUACAUCCACAGCAGUCUCCAGCAUUUCAUCCAUCCUGAAGAGACCCAUUCAUCCUCAAUAACGUCACUGCUCGGUCAUCAAUAAAAGUGACCGGUAGGAAAGCAGAUGAACGCAGCCAACGGACUGGACAGGAAGCCUGUUAAUCUGCAACUCAAUCCAGCCCUAGUCUAGUGAAACCUGGCUCAGCUUGGCUGACCGAGGCCUGCGAGGAAGGAAGUGAAGGACUCAGGAAGCAGUGUUCAGAGCUUUCACCAGUCAUAUCCAUCACAUAGCGCAGUGUUGGAAGCAUAUGUGUGCGUGUGUGUGUGUGUGUGCGCGCCUGUUUCACCAGUCAUAUCCAUCACAGGGCUCUGUCUCCAGGCCUGGGCAAGAGAGCUGGAGGGUCAUUAGAGGGGCCGGGCUGUAGGCUGCUGCGCUGCACUUUAACUAAACAUCUUUUCCAUAAAAUAAAUGCUUCCAGGUUACCGCGGGUCCUGGAGGAACCCAGGACGCUUCGCUUUUGCUGCCACUCAUCUGAUCCCAAUUACCAAACAGACUGGGUCAGUGCCAGCACAGAGAGUGUGGAUAUUAACUGGAGUUGUGUGACCAGACUCCAGUGAGGAUUCAGAAUGGACCUCAACAACCCCAGUGGCAUCUUCAUUUCUUUCUUUUCUUUUUGUCUUUUUAAAGCUUUUCGGCACAUCAGAGAGCAGCACUCACACCUCGCUCCAUCAGGCCUGUCACUGUCCACUACUGUAAUCGAAGCAAAAAAUAAUCCCUCAAGUGACCUUGUACGUGUCGGUUAACCGUCCGGGGCUUAAAAUCUGAGGUCUCGAUCAAACCUGUGACCUAUUUGCAAUGAGACUGAACCCACAGUGCCACCUCUCCAUCCAUUUAGCUGCCAAGAAAUUUGAUACUUGAGCUCUGGUGUCCUGGUUGACCCCUUUCACUGUUCUCCAAACUCAUCUUUUACUGAAUCUACUAUUUAAAAGAGAUUUGAUUGUGUGACAAAAUGCAACAUCAAACCACUUCAAGACUAUUUCUAAAUUAUUUGUUUUCAAUCCAUUUUUUGUAUCUGCUCUUUGGUCUUCCCUGCUGUCCAGAACCUUGCAUAAGCUGUAGUAGUGUAUUGUGCGUUCCCAUAAUUUGCUGCUAUGAGCUGUCGUGGGGGUGUUUCAUAUCAAUUCCUUUCAUGAGCUGCAUGCAUGUAAUAUAUUGUCACGAGAAACUUUUAAUGAGAUUUUAAUUCUAUAACCUCCUCACAGUGUUUGCAUUGAUAUUUAAAGUACACAGUCUGAAUGAACGCACCGUGCUGAGUACACUGACCUGCUUUACUGUGAUAAACGAAGAUGCACGUUCGCAAACAAAGCCGAUCAGCUUGCGAGAGCUUCUAAAACCGUGGUGCUCCGCGCUGGAUUUUUGCACGAGAACACCCAUCACAGCUGAAUCUCUGAGCGUUUGUGUGCAAGCCAGCACAUUCAUUGCUUUCACUCCAGUUGUAUUAAAUGUAUGAAGGUAAUCUGAUCUUGGAAUAGAGGAAGACUCGAUCACAGUGAUGUAUAUGCCCUUGUGCAUAUGUGUGUGUUUUUGUGUGGAGGGAGUGUGCAUUUACAUUCAUACAUUAUUGAAUAAUUGUUUCCUGAUGCUCCCCUCUUUCCUAGAAUAUUAAUUACCAAAUGAUGAAGCUUUGUUGGUCUGAGAGGUUGACACUGAGGGAGGAAGUGCGGGAGGGGGGCACACAUGAAGGAGAUCGUACUUUUUGAUGGGGGUUAACUCUCGUUUUGAGUGUGUGCGGUUUGUGGGUCUGUUGUGUGGAGGGAGGUUGUGAUGUGGAGCAUAGAGCGGCUGAGUUGGGUUUCAGGGAAAGGUUUGGCUUUUUUGAACGGGUGAUGAGAAUUUUCUGGGACAACUGGAUGAAGCAGUGGAUCUUUACUAUUACUGGCGAGUGAUCACUUAUCAAUAGUUUUACCUUGAUUUCAAAGAAAGUUUUUUUCAAUUAGAACAAAAAGGCAUAAAACCAGAUGUCUAAUAGUUACUGUACUGUAAUAUUUAUGUGCUCUUUUGGCCACUGUUUUGAUAUUUUAUGUGCUGUUUUCCUUGUUAAAUGAAGUUCAGUACAGGACUAUUACAUUUACAGUGACAACGGUUUGAUCAAUGACUUUAACUGAUUCACUUUCUGCACGUUUUUGGCAAACAUCGGGGUUUCUUAGGGGAUAAAUCACUUUGAAGAUAAGACAGAAGAAAGGAAGCUAUAAAAUCCUUCCCAAUGAGAGAAUCACAGCAAAUAUUGCUUGUUUGGCUUUUGUUCACGUUUUCUUUUUUUGAAAUCCAGAUUAGCCACACAAGUAAAUCAAAUUUCAUGGAUUGAGUAGCAGACCAAGUCCACAGCUCUCACUGUGAGCCUGCAUGAGAAGUGCAAUAGCGCCAUCUAGUGGAGCCCUCGUGUACAGUGGCUAAAGAAAGUGUCUGUUUUUGUGUGUGUGCAUAAAAAGUGAGAACAAGAUCAGUAAGUUCAGAACUUUUUCCACCUUUAUCGUGACCUGUAACUUCACUCAACUGAAAACUGAAAUCCUUUACCUGGUUGGUAAAUAAAUAUGUACACCCUUAACCUCCUAAGACCCGAAC